AGCAGUCGCCACGGUAAUACGUAGGGUGCAAGCGUUAAUCGGAAUUACUGGGCGUAAAGCGUGCGCAGGCGGUUUGUUAAGACAGAUGUGAAAUCCCCGGGCUCAACCUGGGAACUGCAUUUGUGACUGGCAAGCUAGAGUCUGGCAGAGGGGGGUGGAAUUCCGCGUGUAGCAGUGAAAUGCGUAGAUAUGCGGAGGAACACCGAUGGCGAAGGCAGCCCCCUGGGCCAACACUGACGCUCAUGCACGAAAGCGUGGGGAGCAAACAGGAUUAGAUACCCCCGUAGUCCCUGUCUCUUAUAC
rnacentral:rRNA from 1 species